rnacentral:rRNA from 1 species
AGUGAACGCUGGCGGUAGGCCUAACACAUGCAAGUCGAACGGCAGCACAGGAGAGCUUGCUCUCUGGGUGGCGAGUGGCGGACGGGUGAGGAAUACAUCGGAAUCUACUUUUUCGUGGGGGAUAACGUAGGGAAACUUACGCUAAUACCGCAUACGACCUACGGGUGAAAGCAGGGGAUCUUCGGACCUUGCGCGAUUGAAUGAGCCGAUGUCGGAUUAGCUAGUUGGCGGGGUAAAGGCCCACCAAGGCGACGAUCCGUAGCUGGUCUGAGAGGAUGAUCAGCCAAUCAGGAACUGGGACACGGUGCAGACUCCUACGGGAGGCAUCAGAGGGGAAUAUUGGACAAUUGGCGCAAGCCUGAUCCAGCCAUACCGCGUGGGUGAAGAAGGCCUUCGGGUUGUAAAGCCCUUUUGUUGGGAAAGAAAUCCAGCUGGUUAAUACCCGGUUGGGAUGACGGUACCCAAAGAAUAAGCACCGGCUAACUUCGUGCCAGCCGCCGCAGUAA